rnacentral:rRNA from 2 species
CUUGAAACUUAAGAGUUUUGGCGGUUCAUUUUAUCUCAUUAGAGGAAUUUGCCGGGUAAUCGAUAAUCCUCGUUUUAUUUUACUUAGUGUUAAUGCUUGUAUAUCGCUGUUGAUGAUAUUUUAAAGUUAAUAUUUAUUAGUGAUUUUUCUUUAGUUCAAGUCAAGAUGCAGUUUAUAAUUAAGGUCUGGGUGAAUUACUAUUUUAAUUUAUGGUUAUUAUAUAAAAAUAUAUAGUUGAAAGAGGAUUUAAUAGUAAUAUAAAAUUAAAAUGUUUAUAUGAAUUGAGUUUAAAUGAAUGU